GAGAACACAUAACGUGUGCAUCAAAAUUAAAGCAAUGAAUAGUGCCCAGUAGCAAAUCAAUUGCAAUUAUAUAAUUAAGAAUAUACUCUCUGUAAAAACAUCUUGAAUUGAUAUAAUGAAGCAUAGAUAUGUUAUAAUCAAGAACCAAGUGGGAUGCAGUAAGCUUUCAUUGAUCAACAUCUAUAUAUGCCCAUCUAGUUUUGAUCAAUUUGAACUAAUGAAUAUACGAUUAUAUGAGUCAAUGAUCAGAAGGAGAAUUGAAGCGGUUUGAAGCGGGGUCGAAAUGGAAGCAUGACCGAGUGGGGUGCUGGGUGCAAUUUUAGAUGUCAGUGCAAUCAGGGGUAUAGUAGGAAAUAUAUAAUAAUAUUUUGUUUGCUGGGUAUACUAAGAAAUUUGGUUCUAUAUAUAUAGCAGCACCUUAUAAUUUCCCUGUGGGGGAUUCUCCUACACAAAAACAUGCGUGUAUGCGUUUUACCACUGGCAAAACCAAGACUGCUUCUUUUUGCCCCGACCCUUUUCCGCCACAGUCUGUUUAUUUCGCGCCCAAUCCUCGACGCAAAACCGUCGUUUCGUUUUUGAUGGGUUUCUUACUUUCUUUAUCUCCCAAAUCAAAAGGUAAAUGGGGUUCGUUUGUUACUUUCUUGCUCAUUGUAACAGGUAAGGGUGGUUCAUCUUCUACAUUGUCGUCUUUCCCGGAUCAUUUCUUAUUUGGGUACGUGCCAUUGAUUGUUCUUCUCAAGUUUUUGUUGAAAAGGAACGACCUUGGUUUAGUUCAUAUCAAUUACGGUGUGGGAAUUUGGUUUGCAGGGAAAACAUGAAAGAGAUUGUUUCCAUGCCCACCAGGUGUUCGACGUAAGUCCAAUGUGAGUGGAAUCAAGUUCCUUUUACCAUUUCAGUUUAUACUUGAAAGCUCAAUGAUUAUGCAAAUGUUUGCUUCCAAUUGUAUAUGUCUGUUUGUGCAUAAUUACUUUGUGAUGAAAAGUUUGCGUGUCGAGAUUGAAUACCUGCAUUGCAUAUAUGCACCUUUGUUAGUGAUAGAAAUCAUAGAACUUCAGUUUACUGGAAUAGUCGUAAUCAUGGGUAGACUACCCUCAGUUCCCCACUUUCCACCGCGCGCGCUUGUAUGUUAAGUAGUGAGAUUAUUUGGAAUUAGAAUGAAUAUACUUCAUCCUUGCUGAUCUGACUAGUUUUCUUGUUUAGCAAUAUUAGGUCCUUUCCAGUUUUCCAAUUUUAUUCUUAGGUAGAAGUUGUGUUCUUCUUCACUGUAUACUCAGGGAAUUGAAAGCUGAGUCUGCUGGAAUGGCAUUAGCUUUUGUAUCGACUUCUUGACUGUGCUUCAAAACAACUAAUAAACAGAAAGAACUUAGAAAAUAGUGAUCAGUGAUUGUAUUGGAAAUAAGAAAUCCUUUCACAUCUCUUAACAAAAUUGUGAGGGUACAAAGUUAGACAGUUGUACUAAUUAGAAUAAGGGUAUUACAUCACAGAUGAAGUUCUCACCCUUAGACCAAAUUAUUGUCUACAAUCAUACAUAUUUGCUAGGUACUUUUCUGGUUCAUUACAAUAAAAAUGGGCAUUCAUAUAAUUUGGGAAUGAGUGAGCACUCUUUAUCCAACUAACUAAAAGGGGAUUUAGAAGUUAGGUAUACUUGUUCCAGUCCUACAAACUAAUUUGAAACUUCAAGCUAUUGGCUGUGUCCAUGAGCCCCAACCACCGGACACUCGGACUUGGAUCUUAGACCCACCAUGAGAGUAAAAUCCAUGUCCGGGUGUCUGGUCUUCGCGGCUCACGGUUUGGGGCUAGUGCUCAGAGUUUGGAACCCUAAACUUGAGUGAACCUGUACCUCUGGGAUAAGCACUCUUGACCUCUUAGUUUCCGUUCCAUUAUGAAUUUAAAAGGAGCAGUCUCAUGCCCCCAACAUAACGGAAUGUGCAUUUAGAGAUCAGCAAUUCUUCUAGUUCACUCAAGCUUAGGAUUCCAAACUCUAGGCACUGACCCCAAACCCCCAAAACCUUCACAAAAUGUUUUUGAAUCUGACGAGUGACUUCUUGAUAAUUCUGAAGUAUGGAUCCUCUGAAACAGGUACAAACUUCACAGCCCAACCAAGUGGCCAUGAUACAGAUGCUAUUACGAUACAAACUACCCAUUGCUGAACAUUCAACUUUUCUGUAUCUGCAAACUUCUUCAGAAACUCCACCAUCACAACUUGAAGAACAAUAGUUACCCCCACA
rnacentral:lncRNA from 1 species